UGACAGCAGAUAUCACGUACUACCUUCAUGUCCCUUGUUGAGCAACUACAUGUAUGUUAUCAUGCGUCGGCGCAGACGGACAAGAAGGGGUCGUCUUUGGUGUUCAAGUAGCCACUCUGUCUACGACGAUACUGUUUGUCGUGGUUGGCAGUCUGGUGGCCAUGGGGAUGUGUUGCCGUAGACGUAUGGGGAUGCCAAGAUGAGGGUGUGUGGCAGUCUGGUGGCGGUGGGGAUGUGUUGCCGUAAACGU